CCUCUUCUUUGUGUCUCUGUCCUCCACUCCCCUCUCCCAGUCUGUAGCCCCCCACCCCCGCGUCUGUCCAUUCAUCUGCAUCUCUGUCCUUCUUGCUCUUGUUCUCUGACAACCUCUCUGUGUCUUUUUCCUCUCCUCCCUCUCUUUCCCUCCUCUGUAAGUGCCUUUGCUCUUUCUACCCUUUCUUUUUCUCUCUGUCCCCCUAUUUGGGUCUCUAUCCCUGCUCCCCAUCUCUCUUUCGCCCCCUUCUGGGCUCUGUCCCCACCUCUUUGGGACUUUGUCCUGCUGUCCUUUGGUCUCUGUCCCUCCAUCACCCCCUCUAACCCCCAUCCUGGCCAGGACCCGACGCUGCGUCACUGCAGAGAGUUGCAGAAGUGGAGCCUGUCCUGCAGACCAAGGAGUACUCAAGCCCCCGAUGGGACCCAAGAAGGCAAAGACAUCGGAGCUUCCUAAUCUUCUCUGGCCUGAAUUCUGGAGUAUCCCCAGGCAGAAGCAGUGAAUCCUGAGGUCUCACAGAUCAGAGGUGGUAGACUUCCUGACUUGGCUGAGAGUCGUGGAAGAAGGGCAGGGACUCCUGGAGGUGUGGAAGGAGAGGCCCUAUCCAGAGGUGACUUCCUGAAAGCAGACAGAACCUCUUUCUUGGGGCCAGGACUCGGGACGGUGCACCCUCCCCCGUUACCUGUUGAGGUAGAAGGAGAAGACAGGCUCAUCCAGGAGCCCCUGCUCCACCAGUGCGUCCAGUGGGGGCGGAGCCCCUCCCACGGCCAGAACGGGGAAGGCGAGGCCCAGUAUCCCGUCGAAGUGGGCAAAAGUGAAGACCAGGCUGGGCUCCCACAGAGCCUCUCCAAAAACCACUGAUGCAUUCAUAAUUCCUCCAAUCUAGGGAUAGAUUCAAAUGCGGCAAGUUACUUCUUGAAGGACAUAACCUACAUGACCCUGAGAUCUUCCAGGCCGAGCCAUGAAUCCCAUGUAUGGACACGUCUGAAAAGAGCCCCAGCUGCCUAGGAAGGUUUGCUUCCCCACAUAGGGAGCCCAGCCCUUUAACCAGGAACCCCCGCCCCCUGCAUCCGUUUCCCCAGGAAGCCCCGCCUCCCAAGCCGUAUCCCCUUAGACAUUGGGGUUCUCCCUGGUCCAAGGCUUCCUGGGGUCAAUGGUCACGUACAGUCAGCUUGUCCUCACUCAGGAUGCCAGCCAGCCUCCCAGUCCCGUACUGAAUGGCAAACUUGGUCCCAUUGGGUCGGAAGGAGUUGGAGGCUUUGGGGUUGAAACGGUGGUGGAACCCUAGGUCAGAAGAUCAGGGAGGUGUCACUGGGGGAGGGGAGUCCCCCCCAGUGGCCUCCUGCCUUUGUGAACCUGUCACCUGCGAGGGCAUGUCAGAAAAGAACAGCGCCUCAAAAAUCCUUGGGAAGCUAAGACCCAGCUUCUUCCAUCAACCCCUGUCCAGUCUCCUCCUCCCCCAUGAGAGCUCACAGCAGGGCAGGCUGAAGAAGUGACAUCUUAUGGACGGGACCCAGAGAUUGGAGGAGCCAGUGUCAAAGACGACGGAGAAGUUUUGUGAGGGCGUUCCCAGUCCAAUUUCCCCAUAAUACUGGACCUGAGGGCCAGACAGGGGACAGAGUAAAUGAAGGGCUUGACUUAAGCGGGGAGGAGGGGGAAGACUCCCUCAGGCUGUGACUCACGUUCAUGUAGUCAGAGAGAGGCACAAAGGCGGGCUUCUCUCCAGGGGAGGGGGCCGCUGCUGGCUUCCCCCAUCCCGCCAGCGGGCUCAGGGUCCUGUGUCCCGUACGCACUCGGCGGAGAGGGAUCCUGUGGGGCAGGAUGCUGACACUUAGGAAACUACCCUUCCUGGAGACUUUCCAGAAAAGAACUUCCCAAACAGGGUGGAAUGAUUAAGCAAAUGUCUCAGUGGCCCUCCAAUAACAGUCAUUGUCAGAAACCCUACAAUGACAGCCUUCCAGGAAACCCAACCAAACACCUACCAAACCAUGGGGACCAAUUUCCCCAAAGACUCUACAAGAGUGAGCCAGCCAACCCCAAACAGACCUCCGCCAAGUCUUUGAAUAAGAGACAUUUCAAAGAACAUAAAGUAAGCCAUCCUCCGGAAGUGGACAUUCACAAAGGCUUUCAAAGAGCCUGACAGAAAACUAGGCUUUGCAAGAAACACUUGCAGCUUCACUUCAUGACGAUGGAGACUAUCUUCCUCCCUCUGGGUGGGGGAGACUGUAAGCGCCAAAUUCCAACUUCACACUCUUUACACCGAAAUACAUUUGUUGGGGCGCC